rnacentral:rRNA from 1 species
UACGGAAGGCAGCAGUGGGGAAUAUUGGACAAUGGGCGGAAGCCUGAUCCAGCCAUGCCGCGUGUGUGAAGAAGGCCUUUUGGUUGUAAAGCACUUUAAGCGAGGAGGAGGCUCUCCUAGUUAAUACCUAGGAAGAGUGGACGUUACUCGCAGAAUAAGCACCGGCUAACUCUGUGCCAGCAGCCGCGGUAAUACAGAGGGUGCGAGCGUUAAUCGGAUUUACUGGGCGUAAAGCGUGCGUAGGCGGCUGAUUAAGUCGGAUGUGAAAUCCCUGAGCUUAACUUAGGAAUUGCAUUCGAUACUGGUCAGCUAGAGUAUGGGAGAGGAUGGUAGAAUUCCAGGUGUAGCGGUGAAAUGCGUAGAGAUCUGGAGGAAUACCGAUGGGCGAAGGGCAGCCAUCUGGGCCUAAUACUGACGCUGAGGUACGAAAGCAUGGGGAAGGCAAACAGGGAUUAGGAAUAACCCGU